rnacentral:rRNA from 1 species
GACGAACGCUGGCGACGUGCCUAAUACAUGCAAGUUGAGCGAUGAAGAUUGGUGCUUGCACCAAUUUGAAGAGCAGCGAACGGGUGAGUAACGCGUGGGGAAUCUGCCUUUGAGCGGGGGACAACAUUUGGAAACGAAUGCUAAUACCGCAUAACAACUUUAAACAUAAGUUUUAAGUUUGAAAGAUGCAAUUGCAUCACUCAAAGAUGAUCCCGCGUUGUAUUAGCUAGUUGGUGAGGUAAAGGCUCACCAAGGCGAUGAUACAUAGCCGACCUGAGAGGGUGAUCGGCCACAUUGGGACUGAGACACGGCCCAAACUCCUACGGGAGGCAGCAGUAGGGAAUCUUCGGCAAUGGACGAAAGUCUGACCGAGCAACGCCGCGUGAGUGAAGAAGGUUUUCGGAUCGUAAAACUCUGUUGGUAGAGAAGAACGUUGGUGGGAGUGGAAAGCUCAUCAAGUGACGGUAACUACCCAGAAAGGGACGGCUAACUACGUG